AGUCUCUAGUGCUUGCCCUAGGCUGUUAGCUGACUGCACAGACAGGGAGACGGAGUAUAUCUACCACACAUUUCUUAGCCUAGGCCACCGUGCAUAGUCUGUAUCAUGAAACUCUGGAAAGACAA